rnacentral:rRNA from 1 species
GAUGAACGCUGGCGGCGUGCCUAAUACAUGCAAGUCGAGCGAACAGAUGAGGAGCUUGCUCCUCUGACGUUAGCGGCGGACGGGUGAGUAACACGUGGAUAACCUACCUAUAAGACUGGGAUAACUUCGGGAAACCGGAGCUAAUACCGGAUAAUAUAUUGAACCGCAUGGUUCAAUAGUGAAAGACGGUUUUGCUGUCACUUAUAGAUGGAUCCGCGCCGCAUUAGCUAGUUGGUAAGGUAACGGCUUACCAAGGCAACGAUGCGUAGCCGACCUGAGAGGGUGAUCGGCCACACUGGAACGGAGACACGGUCCAGACUCCUACGGGAGGCAGCAGUAGGGAAUCUUCCGCAAUGGGCGAAAGCCUGACGGAGCAACGCCGCGUGAGUGAUGAAGGUCUUCGGAUCGUAAAACUCUGUUAUUAGGGAAGAACAAAUGUGUAAGUAACUAUGCACGUAUUGACGGUACCUAAUCAGAAAGCCACGGCUAACUACGUG